UUGUGUUUGCCUAAUUUUAUUUUUUUGGUUAUAUUGCUUCAAUCUGAUCCGAUUUUAUUGUCUACUUUUCUCUACUGGAGUCCAAAUCAGUUUUAAUGAUUUGUCUGCUGAUGAAAAGAAAAAAUUUCAAAGAGUAGUGGAUUCUGGAUAGUUAAGCAGUUUGAUUGAGCCAUGGGAACCUUACCUUAGUUGUUGAAGCCAAGAAGGAAUCCAACUUGUUCAACCACUUGUAAAACAUGAAAUGACAGCAUCAGUGCAAAAGAAUAUGUUAUGGGGACUGGCAAUAGGAUCAGUCAUGCUUACCUUGAGUAUGUAUAUCUUCUGUUUUGGGUCAAGGUAGGCAUCCAGUAACCAUCUCUGAAGCUCUGUCUCACUGUUUGGAGGAAACAUGCAUGCUCUCCAGCUUUCGAACACAUUAGUGGUUUACAAUUUGGAUUGGGAACCUACUUUCCCUUGAGGACCCACAUACUUUAUCCCUCGCAUCACUCUAGGCAUGACACUCAUUUUGUGUCUUCAAAUAAGGAAAUGAUGAAACUCAAAUUGGGUCAGAUGUAGUAGCUUCGGUCACAUGAACUCGGCUGACUUUAGUCUGCCGUAAUAUAUAAAUGUCUCACAUAAAGUCAUAAAUAUGCUUCUAAAAAAAGCCAAAGCCACAAAUAUAAAGUUGUUCAAUAAAGUUAUACAGUAACAUACUUUUGGCAAGUUCUUUCUCCUUAGUUGUUGUCAUCCUCCUAAGUUUGGCAGCUUGAGCAAAUGUUGAAUGUCUGCAAUUAACAAAGAGUCAGAGAGUUGUUACAUUGUUAUAUUCUAUUAUGUGCAAUAAAAUUAAAUAUGUUUAACCAUUUAUUUAAAUCCCUCCUUUCUUUUUGCCUGAAAAUUAGAAAUAACACAGAAUGCAACACACCCAUGAUAUAUGGCCUUUAAAUUAUUGCAGUGUUAGACCAAGAAACAAAAGAACUAAUAUUCCUAAAGAACUUGUGUCUCAGGUAUACACGAGGAGGUAAGUGAAGUAUGAAAGCUCAGGACAAGACUUAAACCAGUGUCUUUUGUACAUCUUUCAACAAGCUUUACCAACAUAUUCGGUAAGCUAAGCUACAAGAGUUUGAUGAGUAACAUGAAGUGUUACUACUAAAAUUUUUGAGUUCCUCGCAUAAGGAAUCAACCUGAAUGAUGGGGACAGCAUAAAACAAUGGAACUAAAAAUUCCAUUUGUAUCUGGAAAGAAAUUGUUUUUGUAAUUAAAUUAUUAGUUAGUGGAUUUAUAGUUUCAGAGAGGGUUCAAUAUUGAGCAUUAAUUAAGUGCUAGUAGUACAAUAUGAAUAUUUACUUGAAAUAUCGGUCACAUAAACAUUGUCCUAUGGAUAAAAACGCAUGUAAAGAGCUUUACCCAGUGAUAUGAGAGGAUCUGUUUCUCUGUUCUGCUUUUCAAAUUGUCAUGUAUUUUUGCAGACUUUUUUAGAAAUGGGACUAGACUCCCAUUUUGGAAAAGUGAUUAGUUAAUAAACACUUGUGUAUAGAGAAAGAAUGAAUGAUUGAAUUUGUGAAUCACUUUAUAAGUAAAUAAAACCCAUCUUUUAUACAGCAUAAAAUUGAAACACUGAGAUAAAGACAAUUUAUAAUGCUUUGAUAUUUAAUUGGUUCAUUAAUUAGCUUCUCUCACUCUGCGCUGAUGCCAAUAUUUAGAGGUCUAUGGAGGCAUUAUAUGUAUGACCUCAAUGGACAUCUCCAGGAUAUGACCAGGUAGAAUAUAAGUACAAGCAUGUGAAAACAUUUUCCCUAGUCUUCAUGUAGAGAUUUUUGUAUAAAUGGUGAAUGAAUUAACAAAUAAUACAUACCUAAUCCAAUAGCAUCAGAACCCUUCAUUAUCAUCAGUCUCUUGCACAGAUCAAUAAACAUCCUAUGACAACAAAUAAGAAAUUAGCUUGGUGAAAAUAGAACUUGGUAAGAUGUUCAACCUCAAAGAAUUAAACAGAUUCCCACUACAAGACAGUUUACAUUAGAAUCUUUACUACAUAUUCUUAUCAACUAAACAGAAGAUAUAUACCAGAACAAAUUGAGAUUCAAAUGUAAUAAGCAUUUAAUUUGUCCAUUUAAUUGGCAUUUUUUUGUUAUUUUUGAGGUAUGCUUUUGUAUAGAUUGAUUCAUCGUAAUUCUUGUAUAAUUUAUAUAUAGUAAAGAUUUCUCUCAUUGCUUGGCACUUUAGUGUUAAUUCUCUUCUUAUUGAGGGAUCCAGGGAUCAAGCGAUCUUUAUUUUAAAGUUUAUUCCAUAAGAAGCGAUGUGUACUGUUGUGAAAUAUUGUAGCAGCAUAUAUUAUUCCUGAUCUACCUUGUUUAUCUACAAAUGAUGUUCAAAAAGUUCUCUAGCCUCGACUUAGAGGACUUUCUAACUGUCUAUCACAAUAGUAGGUACAAAUGCAAUGUCACAAUAGUAGGUACAAAUGCAAUGUCUAUCACAAUAAUAGUAGGACUUUCGAUGUAUGAUAGUUGACAAUAGAGAGGACAUGAAGCUCUUUUUUGUGAAUGAGUUGGAUUAGGUGGUCAUAAACUUGCGAUAAAUACUUGUUAUGAGAGCACCACCACUUCUAGAUAAUUUAUUGGCACUCGUAUUAAUUUUUUAUUAGCAUCAUUAGUAUGAAUAUACUUGUGUUAAAAAAACAAACAAACCAACAUACAUUAUUAUGAUAUUCUUUUGAUUUUUGUUAUUGAUUAUGAUGGAUCUUUUGUAUUUGAUCUUACUGUUUCAUUUUCAACAGAUGGAGCUUCCACAUUGGACUAAUAUAGUCAAGACUGGUACUUUCAAGGAGCUUGCGCCCUAUGACCCUGAUUGGUAUUAUAUUGGAGCUGGUAUUCUUCUGGGACAAUAACCAAACACGGACACAUUUGUAUUGUAUUUCUAUUAUGUCUUUUGUUUAUUUCUCUUUUAUGUAACUUAUGGCAGCAUCAAUGGCAAGGAAAAUCUAUUUGAGGGGUGGAAUUGGUGUUGGUGCAUUCAGGAGGAUAUAUGGUGGGCGCAAGUGCCCCGCCACAUCACUGCAAGAGCAGUGGGGGUGUUGCCCGUCACAAAGGGGUGAGCGCCUUUUUUGCAGAACAUGAACAUCGUUGACUUUGUGACUCUAAGGGGUGAAUUAUAGUAGCUUAGGUUGCCAUUCUCAUUCUUAAUUAGCAUGUGUAGUGAUUCUCAUCUUAUCCUCCAAGAAAGGGGGAUAAUGAAAUGAUACAUAACUACAGUGGAAGUAAAAUAGAAUUCAAGUGAUUCUCUCCUAUUUCUUAUUAUUCCUCUGUAACUCAUUUACAACUAUAAAUUAUAAAUUUGUUUUGUAUUCUCCAAGGCAUAUAGACUGAGCUGAGCUUAUGCAAAUUCUUCAAGUCACGAAAACUGGUUGCACUAUAACAAACAAACAUAAUUAUUAAAAAAUAGGUAACCAAUUCCAAGCAUGUUUUGCAGCUCUAUGAUGCCAAUUAAAUGCUAGAAAGGAAAGAAUGACCAAAAACAGCACAAUAUAACCAUUUGCUUUAGUAUUUUAUAGAAGCAAUGCCACUAUUAGUAGGAUAAAGGAGAAAAACAAAAGCAUGAUCACAUAAAUUCUAUGUACUCUUAAGACUCUUCUUUAUUUAGAUUAUGGGGAUUUCUGUGUGCAAACAAAUGUUAUUCUCUAGUACGUUUGGCAGCAAGAGCUUUUAUGGGGAUGGGUGACCAUUCUGGCAAUUUUAACCAACUAUCAUUAUUUUGGGAACUAUUCUGGAAUCUUUUUAAGAAAGGUUUUACUUUAAAAGCAGCAUAAUACAUUGUUGUUCCCGGCAAACAUGACUGAGAAACAGACAACACCUAGAUUUAUUAUAUAGAUAACCAAAAAACCAAUUCUAACACAUUUAAGCAAUUAAUAGAAUAUACACUUAUAACAACUAAGAAUCCAUCAACUGCCACAACAUUUAAGCAACCUUUGUGAGAGGGAAACACAUACAAUUAAAUGUGAACUGAUGAGCAAAGAAAACUACCUGUUGCUAAAGAAAAAACCAAGUGCUGGCAGGAAGUCCCUUUAACAACGAAUGCCAUUCAUAUCCCACUUAGCUUACCUUCCGGUUAUACUACCUGUUGGUCAAUACAUAGUAAGUCAAUCCACAAAUAUUCAGCCCCUAAAUCAACUAAACUUCAUGUUUAUAACAGGGCCCCUAAUAUCCUCCUAGCUUUCAUAAAAG
rnacentral:lncRNA from 1 species